rnacentral:rRNA from 1 species
GAUUGAACGCUGGCGGCAUGCCUUACACAUGCAAGUCGAACGGUAACAGGUCUUCGGACGCUGACGAGUGGCGAACGGGUGAGUAAUACAUCGGAACGUGCCCAGUCGUGGGGGAUAACUACUCGAAAGAGUAGCUAAUACCGCAUACGAUCUGAGGAUGAAAGCGGGGGACCUUCGGGCCUCGCGCGAUUGGAGCGGCCGAUGGCAGAUUAGGUAGUUGGUGGGAUAAAAGCUUACCAAGCCGACGAUCUGUAGCUGGUCUGAGAGGACGACCAGCCACACUGGGACUGAGACACGGCCCAGACUCCUACGGGAGGCAGCAGUGGGGAAUUUUGGACAAUGGGCGAAAGCCUGAUCCAGCAAUGCCGCGUGCAGGAUGAAGGCCUUCGGGUUGUAAACUGCUUUUGUACGGAACGAAAAAGCUUCUCCUAAUACGAGRGGCCCAUGACGGUACC